GGUUAAGCGACUAAGCGUACACGGUGGAUGCCCUGGCAGUCAGAGGCGAUGAAGGACGUGCUAAUCUGCGAUAAGCGUCGGUGAGGUGAUAUGAACCGUUAUAACCGGCGAUUUCCGAAUGGGGAAACCCAGUGUGUUUCGACACACUAUCAUUAACUGAAUCCAUAGGUUAAUGAGGCGAACCGGGGGAACUGAAACAUCUAAGUACCCCGAGGAAAAGAAAUCAACCGAGAUUCCCCCAGUAGCGGCGAGCGAACGGGGAGGAGCCCAGAGCCUGAAUCAGUGUGUGUGUUAGUGGAAGCGUCUGGAAAGGCGUGCGAUACAGGGUGACAGCCCCGUACACAAAAAUGCACAUAUUGUGAGCUCGAUGAGUAGGGCGGGACACGUGGUAUCCUGUCUGAAUAUGGGGGGACCAUCCUCCAAGGCUAAAUACUCCUGACUGACCGAUAGUGAACCAGUACCGUGAGGGAAAGGCGAAAAGAACCCCGGCGAGGGGAGUGAAAAAGAACCUGAAACCGUGUACGUACAAGCAGUGGGAGCCUCUUAAUGGGGUGACUGCGUACCUUUUGUAUAAUGGGUCAGCGACUUAUAUUCUGUAGCAAGGUUAACCGAAUAGGGGAGCCGAAGGGAAACCGAGUCUUAACUGGGCGUUAAGUUGCAGGGUAUAGACCCGAAACCCGGUGAUCUAGCCAUGGGCAGGUUGAAGGUUGGGUAACACUAACUGGAGGACCGAACCGACUAAUGUUGAAAAAUUAGCGGAUGACUUGUGGCUGGGGGUGAAAGGCCAAUCAAACCGGGAGAUAGCUGGUUCUCCCCGAAAGCUAUUUAGGUAGCGCCUCGUGAAUUCAUCUCCGGGGGUAGAGCACUGUUUCGGCAAGGGGGUCAUCCCGACUUACCAACCCGAUGCAAACUGCGAAUACCGGAGAAUGUUAUCACGGGAGACACACGGCGGGUGCUAACGUCCGUCGUGAAGAGGGAAACAACCCAGACCGCCAGCUAAGGUCCCAAAGUCAUGGUUAAGUGGGAAACGAUGUGGGAAGGCCCAGACAGCCAGGAUGUUGGCUUAGAAGCAGCCAUCAUUUAAAGAAAGCGUAAUAGCUCACUGGUCGAGUCGGCCUGCGCGGAAGAUGUAACGGGGCUAAACCAUGCACCGAAGCUGCGGCAGCGACACUAUGUGUUGUUGGGUAGGGGAGCGUUCUGUAAGCCUGUGAAGGUGGCCUGUGAGGGUUGCUGGAGGUAUCAGAAGUGCGAAUGCUGACAUAAGUAACGAUAAAGCGGGUGAAAAGCCCGCUCGCCGGAAGACCAAGGGUUCCUGUCCAACGUUAAUCGGGGCAGGGUGAGUCGACCCCUAAGGCGAGGCCGAAAGGCGUAGUCGAUGGGAAACAGGUUAAUAUUCCUGUACUUGGUGUUACUGCGAAGGGGGGACGGAGAAGGCUAUGUUGGCCGGGCGACGGUUGUCCCGGUUUAAGCGUGUAGGCUGGUUUUCCAGGCAAAUCCGGAAAACCAAGGCUGAGGCGUGAUGACGAGGCACUACGGUGCUGAAGC
rnacentral:rRNA from 1 species